GCAGCCUGCGCUCUCUAGCCCAGUCCCGCUGCUGCCGCGGGGCGGACGGGAUGGCGAGUAGUGCUGUGUAGCCUCUCGCAGGCAGGAAGCGCGGGCGGCUGCAGCAGGCAACUCAGCAUGCCAUCGCUGGCCGCGGGCGGCCCCAGAGCCUCGUGCUCCUAGCUGAGCCCGAGCUUCGCCUUGGCCCUGUCCCCGCAGUGCUCCAUGGUGGUUGAAGGGCAGCGCUCUGCUUCGGCGCGGCGAGGCGGUGGCGGCGGCGGAGGAGGAGGAGGAGGAGGAGGAAGAAGAAGAGGGCAUGGCCGCCCCGGGGGACAGCUGCAGCGUCAAGGUGGCAGUGAGGAUCCGUCCUCAGAUGCCAAAAGAGAAGAUCGAAGGAUGUCAUAUCUGCACAUCAGUGACACCUGGCGAGCCCCAGGUCCUCCUGGGAAAGGACAAAGCCUUUACCUACGACUUUGUCUUCGAUCUGGAUACAUGGCAGGAACGGAUCUAUACGACCUGUGUGAGCAAACUCAUCGAAGGCUGCUUCGAAGGUUACAAUGCUACGGUGUUGGCAUAUGGCCAGACAGGUGCAGGUAAGACUUAUACCAUGGGUACUGGCUUUGACAUGAACAUUUCUGACGAAGAGCUUGGCAUAAUCCCAAGAGCCAUUGCUCACUUGUUUAAUGGUAUAGCAGAGCGCAAGCAGGCAGCACAGGAACAGGGUGUGCCUGCACCGGAAUUCAAAGUCAGCGCACAGUUCUUGGAGCUGUACAACGAAGAGAUCUUGGAUCUUUUUGAUAGCACACGGGAUCCUGACUCCCGCCACCGGAAAUCUAACAUCAAAAUUCAUGAGGAUACCAGUGGUGGUAUCUACACUACUGGUGUCACAUCUCGUCUCAUUGGCUCGCAGGAUGAGCUGAUUCAGUGCCUGAAGCAAGGAGCUCUAUCCCGAACCACAGCCAGCACUCAGAUGAAUGUCCAGAGUUCUCGUUCCCAUGCGAUCUUCACCAUCUAUCUUUGCCAAAUGCGAGUGUGCUCUCCUGUACACUUGGUGAAUGGAGACACAAACAGUCUCCUUGAGGGAUCUCAACCUACCAGUGAGUAUGAGACACGAACUGCCAAGUUCCACUUUGUUGACCUGGCCGGCUCAGAGAGGUUGAAACGGACCGGAGCUACAGGCGAGAGAGCCAAAGAAGGGAUCUCCAUCAACUGUGGCUUGUUAGCACUUGGAAAUGUCAUCAGUGCCCUUGGGGAUCAGAGCAAGAAGGCCUUGCAUGUGCCUUAUCGAGAUUCAAAAUUGACCCGGCUCCUUCAGGACUCCCUUGGUGGCAACAGCCAAACCGUAAUGAUUGCCUGUGUGAGCCCUUCAGACCGAGAUUUUAUGGAGACCCUGAAUACCUUAAAGUAUGCCAAUCGUGCUCGCAACAUCAAAAACAAAGUGGUGGUGAAUCAGGAUAAGACAAGUCAGCAAAUCAGUGCCCUACGAGCUGAAAUUGCCCGCCUCCAGAUGGAACUCAUGGAGUACAAGGCGGGCAAGCGUGUCAUUGGAGAGGAUGGCUCUGAAGGAUACAGUGACUUGUUUCAUGAGAAUGCUAUGCUGCAGAAGGAGAACACCACCUUACGCAUGCGGGUGAAGGCCAUGCAAGAGGCCAUUGAUGCCAUCAAUGUCAGGGUUACCCAUCUAAUGAGCCAGGAGGCCAACCUGAUUCUUGCCAAUGCAGGUGAUGGCAAUGAGGCUAUUGGCGCUCUGAUCCAGAACUAUAUCCGAGAAAUUGAGGAGCUCAGGACAAAACUUUUGGAGAGCGAAGCUAUGAAUGAGUCACUACGUCGCAGCCUGUCUCGGGUUUCUUCCAGGCUUCCCUAUCCCUUGGGUUUAUCUCCGGGGCCAGGUCUGGGAACUCCAAAUAGCUCUGUCACCUCUGUUGAAGCAGAGGUGUCUGAAGUGCUCCAGUGUGCCAAGCAGGACCUAGAAAGGCUGAAAAAAGAGACUAAACAGCAAAGGAAAAGCCCAGAGAAGGAAGGUUUUAAGAAGAAGUUGAAGCUACAGCAAGAAAAUGAAGCAGAUGAGACAGAUGAGAAUGAGGCAGAAGAGGAGGAACGGGAUGAGAGUGGCUGUGAAGAAGAAGGUGGCCAGGAGGAGGAAGAGGAAGAUGAUUCAGGGAGUGAAGAAAGCCUGGUGGAUUCUGACUCAGAUGUUGAGGAAAAAGCAGCAAAUUUCCAAGCUGACCUGGCUGACCUGACCUGCGAGAUCGAGAUCAAGCAGAAGCUGAUAGAUGAGUUGGAAAAUAGCCAACGGCGUCUACAGACCCUUAAACAUCAAUAUGAGGAGAAGCUGAUUCUACUGCAGAACAAGAUCCGCGACACCCAGCUAGAGAGGGACAGGGUCCUGCAGAACCUCAGUUCUAUGGAAUGCUACACAGAAGAGAAAGCCAACAAGAUCAAAGCAGAUUACGAGAAGCGUCUGAGGGAAAUGAACAGGGACUUGCAGAAGUUGCAGGCAGCCCAAAAGGAACAUGCCCGCCUCCUUAAGAACCAAUCUCGGUAUGAACGAGAGUUGAAGAAGCUACAUGCAGAAGUGGCAGAGAUGAAGAAAGCCAAGGUGGCAUUGAUGAAGCAAAUGCGUGAGGAGCAGCAGAGGCGGAGACUGGCAGAGACCAAAAGAAAUCGGGAGAUUGCCCAGCUGAAGAAGGAGCAGCGCAGGCAGGAGUUUCAGAUUCGAGCACUAGAAUCUCAGAAACGGCAGCAGGAGAUCGUGCUUCGCAGAAAAACCCAAGAGGUUUCUGCUCUGCGCCGUCUGACCAAACCUUUGUCCGAGCGGGCUGCUGGGAGGUUGAACCAGAAAUCAGCAAUUCUGGACUCGGGUGCUGAGGUCUCCACCAGCACCACCUCCUCAGAGCCAGAAUCCGGUUCUCGUUCUGUAUCCAGUAUAGUGCGCCAAUGGAAUCGGAAAAUCAACACCUUCUUGGGAGAUUCUCCUUCCACCAAUGGGACUCGGACCAUCAGAAAGAAGUUUGCAAAGAAAGGGACAAACCAGACCUUCAGUAAGACAGCCCGCCUGAAGUGGCAGUCACUGGAGCGGCGUGUCUUUGAUAUUGUCAUGCAGAGGAUGACUGUCAUCAACCUGGAAUCAGACAUGGAACGGCUCAUCAAGAAACGUGAGGAACUGUCCCUGAUGCAAGAAAUGCUUCUAGGGAAGAGGGAGAAACUGCAGACAGAAAACCCUGAAGAGCAGAAGGGACUUCAAGAGCUGAAUGAGGAGAUUGAAGUGCUGGCAGCCAACAUUGACUACAUCAACGAUAGCAUUUCUGACUGUCAAGCCACGAUCAUGCAGAUUGAGGAGACCAAGGAAGAACUGGAUUCCACUGACACUUCUGUGGUGAUCAGCUCUUGUUCUCUGGCUGAGGCACGACUGCUGCUGGAUAAUUUCCUCAAGGCCUCCAUAGACAAGAGCCUGCAGGUGGCCCAAAAGGAAGCUCAGAUACGACUUUUGGAAGGACGUUUGAGACAAACAGAUGUGACUGGCUCCUCUCAGAAUCACCAUAUCCUGGAUGCCCUGCGGGAGAAGGCGGAAUCUCAUCCCGAGCUUCAGGCACUCAUCCACAAUGUCCAGCAAGAGAAUGGCUAUGCCAGUACAGAUGAGGAAAUCUCUGAAUUCAGCUUGGCCUCAGAAGGAAGUUUUUCACAGUCUUUCUCCAUGAAGGGCUCUGCCAGUCAGGAUGACUUCAAGUGCAGAGGAGAGCCCAAGCUGUCUGGUCAGAUGAAGGCUGUGUCUGCAGAGUGCCUGGGGCCCAUGCUGGAUAUCUCCACCAAGAACAUCACCAAGUCAUUGGCAUCUCUCAUGGAGAUCAAAGAGGAUGGAGUUGGUUUUUCUAUCCAUGAUGCUUACUACAAGGAGAAGGUUUCUCGCACCAUCAGCCUGCCCACUCGAGGGAGCACAUUCCCUAGGCAAUCCCGUGGCUCAGACACGUCACCCCUCACAAGGAGGAAAUCCUACGACCGGGGCCAGCCUAUCAGGACUCCAGAUGUUGGAUUCACUCCCCCCUCAUCUCCUCCCAGCAGGCCACGCAAUGACCGUAAUGUCUUCUCCCGCCUCACCAGCAACCAGAGCCAGGGCUCAGCACUGGACAAGUCUGAUGACAGUGACUCCUCUGUCUCGGAGGUGCUGAGGGGCAUCAUUAAUCCUGUGGGAGGUUCCAGGGGUGCCCGCACAUCCCCACUGCAAUGCAUCUCUGUGGCAGAAGGUCACACCAAGCCGGUUCUGUGCCUAGAUGCUACUGAUGAAUUAUUAUUCACUGGAUCCAAAGAUCGGAGCUGCAAAAUGUGGAACUUAGUGACUGGCCAGGAAAUUGCCUCUUUGAAAGGACAUCCAAACAAUGUAGUCUCCAUAAAAUACAGCAGCCACUCUGGCCUGGUAUUCACAGUCUCUACUUCUUACAUCAAAGUGUGGGACAUCCGGGACUCUGCAAAAUGCAUUCGCACCCUCACGUCAUCGGGCCAAGUGAUUUCUGGGGAUGCCUGUGCUGGGACCGCUACCCGCACUAUCACCAGUGUGCAAGGCGAGCACCAGAUCAACCAGAUUGCCCUCAAUCCCACAGGCACCACGCUUUAUGCAGCCACUGGAAACUCCGUCCGCAUCUGGGAGCUGAACAGAUUGCAGCCCAUUGGGAAGCUGACAGGUCACAUUGGGCCUGUGAUGUGCCUCACGGUGAGCCAGACUUCAAGCAACCAUGACCUGGUCAUUACAGGAUCCAAAGACCACUAUAUCAAGAUGUUUGAAAUUACAGAAGGUGUCGGUGGGAAUGUUGGCCCCACCCACAACUUUGAACCCCCACAUUAUGAUGGCAUUGAAUGCCUAGCUAUUCAGGGAGAUGUUCUCUUCAGCGGCUCCAGGGACAACGGCAUCAAGAAAUGGGACCUAGAGCAGCAGGAGCUCAUCCAGCAAAUCCCCAAUGCACACAAAGACUGGGUUUGUGCCUUGGCCUUUGUGCCCAGCCGGCCCAUGUUGCUGAGUGCCUGCCGUGGUGGGAUGGUGAAGGUCUGGAAUGUUGACAACUUCAAUCCUGUUGGGGACAUUAAGGGACAUGACAGUCCUAUCAAUGCCAUCUGCACCAAUUCGAAGCACAUAUUCACAGCAUCCAGUGACUGCCGGGUAAAGUUAUGGAAUUACGUGCCUGGGCUCACCCCCUGCCUUCCACGACGCGUCCUUGCCAUCAAGGGCCGUGCCACCAGUCUGCCUUGACCCUCCUCCUGUCUUCUCUGCUCUCCUGUUCACUCUUUCUUGCUAUGUUCUCCCUCCCCAAUCUUCUUCUCCUCCCUAUACCCCUCCCCUCUACAAGCUGAUCUCAGCUGCUUCUUAACGCGACUGGACUGUGAAGCUCUGGAGUGUGAGGAAGCUACUGAACAGCACAGUCUAGAACUGGGGGAACACUAGGCAUGGAAGCCACAGCAGGGUUCACCAACAAUGGUGUUCUUGCUGAACCUGACUUAUAAAGGCUACGAAGCAGUGAUCAUCUUCACACUGGAAUUUUGUACUCUUCAGGGAUAUAGAAAAGAGGGCAACCCUGAUUUUUGGUACUCUGCACCAGCGAAUAGGUGGCAGUUGGAUGGUACUGCAAAAUCUCUUUUUCUUCCUAUUUUCCCAACCCCUAUAAUUGCUUGAUAGGAUUUUACAAUGACAUUGAGUGGCAGAAUGAAGCCUGACCACAUGUUGCCAUCUAAAAAAGGAAAGCUUAAGCUGAGUGUUUGAGAGCAUUUCUCCAGGCAGACUCCAUUUGGCCCCAAAGCAGGAUUUUCUCAACCUCACCCAGGAGACAUGAGGCAGCACGAUGUAGGAGAGGUUCUGCAACAUCUUUUACUCCAUAAGCUGAGAAAGCCACAGUCAUUUCUUCCACAACUUCAUAUGCAUGCCUUAUAGUUCAGGUCUCAACAGUGAAAUCAACAAGAGGAAAUUGGAACCUGCCAACAGCUUCCUGGAUGUCUUUCCUGCAUGUCAUAAUUUUAGAGAAUAUUUGUUGCUCUGAGUGUUAAUGAAGUGCUGGUUUUGUUUUUUUUAUUUCAGUGAUGGCCAGAGAGCUUUUUUUUCCCCCUAAAGAGGGAAAAGUGGGUUUGGGAGAAGGCACAAGAGUCCACCUUGUUGUUGAGCAUGUGUGGUAUUUCUCAGCUUUCUCUCCAGAAGUGGAAUCACCAAAGGUUUUCGUUUUCAACUGCCAGUUGUGAUAUUGGUUUUUGCCAUUUGAAGAUCACAAACGCUCCUGACAUAACAUACAAAAGAAUGUUUCUAUCGUAUUAAAGUACACCUGUACAAAGAUUUAUUACAGUGUUACCUUCCCUGUGGCAUCAAGAAUUUUUCAAGUUUGAAACAUUGCAACCUUCAUAUAUUACAGCUUAACUCAAGAAACUGGAACACUUGACUCUUAGUACAGUGGUAAAUACCAAACUGAGAUGGUGUGUGGAUCUAUUUAUUUUGUCCUGUGGGAGUGGUCACAGAAAAUGACACUGUCACUCCGACGGGGAAAGGACUCGUUUUCGUAUGAGUACAAAAGUGAGGGAUUUGUUCUCCUCCCCCAGCUUUCAGGCAUGGUAAGAAAUGAUUUUGAAUUUCUUGAUGCUCAGGUGUGGUGGUAUGAAUUUGCACCAUCUCACUUCCCCAGGUAUGGGGUGACAGAGCCCCUCACAGCUUCAUCCCAAGCAACUCUUUUUUAAUACCUAUUUGAAAUGCAGCCAUUCCAGCUGUUUCAUAUAUGUACCAUGUGGUAUCAUGAGCUCUGCCAGGAAGAGGCAAGAGAGACUUGAUUUUUGGUGCUUUGAACACCUUAAACUUUCACUGACUCUUUCGACUCCACUCAGUUUAUUCAUGGACACUAGUUUAAGCCCUGUCACCGUGUGACAGAAAAAGCUUUCAUCUGUGUGCAUCAAAGAAGACCUAUCCAUGCCUCACUGGAGAGGUACCAAGCACACCUCAAAUUCUUUUUCCUCUCAUUUAUAAAUGAAUAUGCUGUGCACAUGAACUCUUAAUAUGUACUGUGCUUUUCCACCAAAGGGUUGGGAACUAGAUUAUAUAUGUAUGUUCAUCUCUUCAGCAGACGGACUUGAGGAAAACAGUACACCGGUGGGCCAGUGCCGACAAGCAGGCCAAAUAAACCUGCUUCCUGCAUGCUUCACAUAUUUCCACAGCUCUGCUCUUCCCCUGACUUGUAGGAAUCCUCGGUUCUGAUAAACUGGGAUGUCCACUCAAAUGCAUUGUGAAAAUCCCGCUCAAGUGCGUUGAAGCUGCAGAUUCUUCCAUUCGAGUAGGAAGUUGUACUGUAAUUCUGUAUGGGUGUUUUAGAGCUUUGAUGUAUUGUCUUGUGCUUUAUUUGGAGUGGGGAGGGGAGAAGGGAGAAGUGUGUGUAUGUUUAUGUGUGUGUGUAUAUGAGUGUGAGAGCUUUGAAGAGGGUGAAAGCUUGGUUUGUGUUAACCUACCUCAUGGCCCAAGGUGUUGUUGUUGUUGUUGUUUAAAAAAAAAUAAAACUUGAAUUAGUCUGGGGAAGGGACAUUCUCACACUGGUCCUGAUUUUUGAGCUCUUGGUUCUGUUAGCCAGUUGUAGCGAGGAUGGGAGUCGUUGGGACUCUGUGCUUUGCCUUCACUGCUUAUUAUGUUCCAGUCAAAGACUUGUUUGUUGUCAGCCAGCCGCACAAUUUCAAUAAACGCUGAGGCUGACACUUGUAUAAUCACAAUAAGCUUGCCAAUCUUCUCUUGACUUUGUAUAGUGGGGAGAAGUUUGGGUGAAUCAAGUCUUGAAAGGGGGACCAUCUGCCAUUGGCAGUGAAAUCAGCAUAGUCCUUUUUCCCCCUGACCAUCCUGAACCCCUUGUGUUACCACCCAAGCUACCUUGUCUGGUAUGUAGGGAAGCGUAGUUAGUUUCCUGUGUUUUUUUAAAAUGUUACUGCUUGUAAAAAUUUAGGUUCCAAUUUUAAAUUAGCUGCACACAGUUCACCUAAACCUUCCUACAUUUCUUUUUGUAGGAAGUUGUGUAGAACAAAGACUAUGAAAUGUCCUAUGAAGUAAUACUUGAUAUACUGGAAUCAGUCUGGCAUGGGGGGUACUCCUCUCCUGACCAUGUUGCCAUACAGCCCCAUGUGCCCCACUCUUCUACUGUGCUUUAAGGUAUGAGAUUAUAUUUUCUCAUACUGAAGAAUUUCCGACCACCUCUUUUUAUAGGGUUAGUGCUCCAGUAGCAAGGGCAGUGCACAUCUCUAGAGCUGCAGUCAGGUGCAGUCUUAAUAAGCCAUUUUACUGGUUAAUUACAGUUGACCUUCAUCUUCGAGCACAUGAUGUCCUGGAUCAAAGUGAUGAAGCAGAAAGUUCUGUUUGUAGUGUUCCUUGGAUUGAAUUUAAAAGUUCACUGAGAGGUCAGUGCAACAUGACUCAGAAGUGGGUCUCCAUAAUCUACCCUAGCAAGCAGUACAAGGAAGUUCCGGCCGUAUUAUCAUGGUAUUCCUGAUGUUUAUGAUCUGGCACACAGAGAUGCUGCCGCCCUGCUUGUUAGUUCUGCUGUUAUGCACUGUGGUGGCCAGAUAGUAUACACUCACCCUACAUUUCAAGGAAGAAAAAGAAACCUGGAGUGACCCCCUGUUCUACUGCAUGUAAAUAUCAUAGGUGAGGACCAAUCCUAGUCAUAUGUGCCACCAGUUGGUUUGUAUGAAGAGCACAUAACUUCAAAUAACAGGUGCCUUUUCUUGCUCUGAAAUAUCUUUUACAAAAGGCUGGUGCUUGUUUGGGGCUUCUAACGGAGGCUGCGUCAUCAGGCAAAAUGGUCUGUGUGUGUGUGUAUGUACGCAGGAUGAAGUGUGUAAGAUUUUAUACCUCUGUGUAAAUAGUGUAAGUUAUUUAUGGUUCCUGAUGUACAUGGUUUUCCAAUAUGUGUGUUUGUUCCUCUUCUAAAUAAAUAAGCUUGUUAAUGAAA